rnacentral:lncRNA from 1 species
GGCAAGCAAUGUCCAGAAACUGGGGGCAAAACUGGCAGAGCAACUCGUAUCUGAAUGGGCAAGCCCUCUCCUUCAAGGUCACAACCAGUGAUGGCCGCACUGUGGUGUCCUACAAUGCUGCCCCAGCUCGUUGGUCCUUUGGCCAGACCUUCACUGGUGCCCAGUUCCGCUAAGGGACACCUACCCUUGGCCAGACCUUCUGCUGUCUCUAUAUUUAGCGUCUUCCUAGGAUUUUUACAUAUAUAUUUUCUCUACCAUAUAUUAUAUAUGAAGGUUAGUGUGACUCUUAGUAUACUAGGAUAUUAGUUGGUAUACUAUAACUAAUGGGGUCUGUUGAGUCAUUGGCCUC